rnacentral:misc_RNA from 1 species
UGAACGGUGUUAGCACGUUGUUGGUACUGAAGAUGCUCUCCUUGGGCGAUGAGUAAGGGAGUGCCAGCGCAGGCUGCGGCUUGUUGAACCUUUCCAUGACACAUGAAAAUGCUCCUAAAGUGAGACAACUCUGUAGUAGAGCUUGUGGUGCACCUGGAAAGCUCAAAGCAAGACCAGUGCAACAACCUGCUACACCUGCAUUGAUGACAUCAUCUUUUCCUCGCAAAUUCUUCAAGAAG